AUGUGUUAUAUGUUUUGAAGAUUUACAUUUCCUGAACCAUUGGCUGACUCUCCUGAUUGGCUCUUAUACCCCUCUUCUCUGAGAUGCCCCUUUCCUUCUGCAAGUAACCAUUUUUCCCCACUCAAUUUAACAGCUAUUUCUUGAUCCACUAAGAAUAACGCCCUUCAAAGGAGUUAAAGAUGAAGAUUAAACUGUGCCUCUUUAAGACUUUAUAAUCUGGUAGGGAAAAAUAGAAAAAACACAAGUGAUGAAACCAUCAUUAUCAGUCUGUCUGUUGAGUAACUGCUGAGUGCUCAGUGCUCUAAUCAUAAUUUUUCUUUUUAAAAAUGUAUUUAUUUAAAAAAAUUAUGGCUAUACACAUGGCAUAUGGAAAUUCCCAGGCCAGGUAUUGAAUCUGAACCACAGCUGCAAGCUGUGCCACAGAUGCAGCAACGGUAGAUCCUUUAAUCCACUAUGCCGGGGCCUGGGAUCAAACCGAAGCCUCUGCAGUGACCCACACCACUGAAGUUGGAUACUUAAGCCACUGGACCAUGGCAGGAAUUCCUUAAGUUUAAUUUUUCAUUUAAUCUUUGUAAGCUUUGCAAGAUAAUGGUAUAAUUCCCCAUUUUACAGCUUGUUGAGGAAAUUCCUUAAGGUUGUAUUGCUAGUAAGUGACAGAGUUGGGAUUCAAACCUGGGGCCACUGUCUUCCAGAGUCUGUGAACUUCUUUACUGUAUCAGGAGACAUUUUAGUGCAGACCAUAAAAAGCAGAUGCCAGAAAAGUGAUGUGAGAGUCCAAGGAAGAGCUCAAUCAGAAAGACUUUAAAAACACAUUUGAGGAGUUUCCGUUGUUGCUCAGCGGGUUAAGAACCUGACUAGUAUCCAUGAGGAUGCAGAUUUGAUCCCUGGCCUCAAUCAGGAGGUUAAGGAUCUGGUGUUGCCGCAAGGUGUGGCGUAGGUGGAAGAUGUGACUUGGAUCCGGUGUUGCUGUGGCUGUAGCAUACGUAGGAGGGCAGCCGAAGCUCCAAUUUGACCCUUAGCCUGGGAACUUCCAUAUGCUGCAGGUGUGGCCCCCUAAAAAAGGAAGGAAGGAAGAAAGGAAGGAAGAAGGAAGGAAGGAAGGAAGGAAGGAAAGAAGGAAGGAAGGAAGGAAGGGAGGGAAGAAAGAGAAAGAAAGAAGGAAGGAAAGAAAGGAAGAAAGCAAGGAAAAGAAAGAGAAAGAAAGAAAGAAAUGGGUUAAUCUUGGUUUAAUGCAACAGUUUCUAAACAUAUUUGAUCAUAGAACUCAUUUAUAUAUGUAAAUUCCGUUAAUGCCCUGUAUAACCAUUGUCCAACCAAACUCUGUACUUGCUUAGAAAGUUAGGUAUAGGCCAUCUGGUGGAGGGCUUUAACUGGUAUUUAACCUGGGUUGCUUUAUUGAGGGGUUCUGAAGAGAGGAAUCAUGCACUCAGAGUUGUAUUAUCUGCAUUGGUGUGUUGUGACUGGAGCAAGAGGGUGAACCUCAAAGUUCAUCCCUGAUUACCUACAGCCAUAACUAGUCCUGUGAUUGCUCCCCAUCUCCAGACAUGUGAAUCAUUUGAAAUCCACUUGCUUUAUUUCUAAUCAAAGGUCUAGGAGAACCAAAAUUGGUAGGAGGGGUGGUGGCUCACCCAAUAUCAAACUGAGCAACCUUUUAGAGCCAGAAAUAAUGGCCCAUUGUCCCCCUGACUUCUUCAUCAGCUUCUCUCUGUACAGAGUAUCCAGGCAGCUGCCAGCCAAGCUGCCCUUGUGACUUUCCCAGGCCUCAGAACUCUCCCUCACUCUCCUUCCAUCACCUCCCACACCAGCCCCAGAGACACAGGGCAGCCACACAGUAGAUGGAGGCAGCCGUAGGAUGUGAGUCAUGAGACGUUCUCAGGGGUGACCCAGUGGCAAGUCUGCAGUCAAGCCAGUUGCCUCUUCCCCAUUUACUUUCAUUGUGGAUGCUCAUGCCUUCAUCACAAACCCACCAGGGAAAAGUUUUUAAAGCAACUAUGUCUGUUAAUGGGCCAUGACAAAGCUGGUGCAAAGCAGUGGAUUCUUUGAACACUCCAUAAAUAUGUUCGUGUGUUAGUCACUAAUAAACACAUUAGUCACCUGCAAGGGGUAAGGCUUUGACAAUGGGAAGGCAGUGUGAAUGGUGGUUAAGAACAUGUGCCCUGGACUUACGGCUGGGUUUAAAUUUAGUCUCCAUCACUUAAAGAAUUAUCUGCAUUUAGUGGGUUAGUUACCUAACCUCCAAUGGCUUGUGUUUCUUAUCUGUAAGCAUAGAUAUAGGUAUAACAGGCAGUACCUGUUUCAUAGGGUUGUUUAAAGAAUAAAGCAUAUGAAGUGUUUAGAACAGUAUGUGGCAAAAAGGAAGUGCUUAAUAUGUGUUAGCUGUGAUUAUUUUGAUUGUGUUUAUCAUAUUAGUUUCACCAUUAUUAGACAUUGGAUAGGUGGGUGGGUGGAAAUAAAACUGAGUAAGAAAUGGUUCCCAGGAGUUCCCAUCAUGGCGCAGUGGUUAACGAAUCUGACUAGGAACCAUGAGGUUGCUGGUUUGAUCCCUGGCCUUGCUCAGUGGUGUUGCUGUAGCUGUGGUGUGGGCUGGCAGCUGUAGCUCCCAUUCAACCCCUAACCUGGGAACCUCCAUAUGCUGUGGCUGUGACCCUCAAAAAAAAAA
rnacentral:lncRNA from 1 species